CCACACUAGCUGGGGAGGUAGCGGUGCCCUGUAAUCUACAACCCGCUCUAGUAGAAGUGAAUUCCGACUUAAGGUAUAUUUUGGUUGUGGUUUGACUCUAGAAUGAAAUGUUGAGAAUAGAGUCCUAGAUGGCAAAAGAAUAGUGAACCGUGUCAGAUCUUGACAGAAGCAGCACUAAGCUAUUUUCUUUUGGGUAUUUAGGGUAGCUCUAUUUGAGUGGAUUUCUAUUGUAUCACACAGUUGAAAUAUAUCAAGGGUCGGUGUGUGG
rnacentral:SRP_RNA from 1 species